rnacentral:rRNA from 1 species
AGUGAACGCUGGCGGCGUGCCUAACACAUGCAAGUCGAACGAUGAUUGAGAGCUUGCUCUCAUGAUUAGUGGCGCACGGGUGAGUAUACCAUAGAUAAUGUACCUCUUAGUUCGGGAUAGCCACUGGAAACGGUGAUUAAUACCGGAUACUCCUUCUUGUCUCAAGGCAAGUCGGGAAAGUUUUUUCGCUAAGAGAUCAGUCUAUGUCCUAUCAGCUAGUUGGUGAGGUAAUGGCUCACCAAGGCAAUGACGGGUAUCUGGUUUGAGAGGAUGAUCAGACACACCGGAACUGAGACACGGUCCAGACUCCUACGGGAGGCAGCAGUGAGGAAUAUUGCACAAUGGAGGAAACUCUGAUGCAGCAACGCCGCGUGGAGGAUGACGCAUUUCGGUGUGUAAACUCCUUUUAAGAGGGAAGAUAAUGACGGUACCUCUUGAAUAAGCACCGGCUAACUCCGUGCCAGCCGCCGCAGUAAGAC